rnacentral:rRNA from 1 species
GCUAGCGCUUCCCCCACAUCCUGCCGCGAACCGUGCUACCAUUAGUUUGGUGGCGCCGGGGAUCGGCUCGUUUACUUUGAGAAAAAUAGAGUGUUCAAAGCAGGCCACACGCCUUGAAUAAGUUAGCAUGGAAUAAUAAUAAAGGACUUCGGUUCUAUUUUGUUGGUGUUCGGGACUGAAGUAAUGAUUGAUAGGGACAGUUGGGGCGGUCAGUAUUCCAAAGCGAGAGGUGAAAUUCUUAGACCUUCGGAAGACUAACAGCUGCGAAAGCGUUCCGCAAGGAUGUUCCCUUUGAUCAAGAACGAAAGUUGGGGGAUCGAAGACGAUCAGAUACCGUCGUAGUCUCAACUAUAAACUAUACCAGCUAGGGAUCGGUCAACGUUAAAUUAUUCGACUUGAUCGGCACCUUAUGAGAAAUCAAAGCAUCUGGGUUCCGGGGGGAGUAUGGUCGCAAGGCUGAAACUUAAAGGAAUUGACGGAAGGGCACCACCAGCCGUGGAGCCUGUGGCUUAAUUUGACUCAACACGGGAAAACUUACCAGGUCCAGACAUAGUAAGGAUUGACAGAUUGAUAGCUCUUUCUUGAUUCUGUGGGUGGUGGUGCAUGGCCGUUCUUAGUUGGUGGAGUGAUUUGUCUGGUUAAUUCCGUUAACGAACGAGACCCCAGCCUGCUAAAUAGCGCGGUUGAGCUUUGCUCGGCGCGAGCUUCUUAGAGGGACUAUGAUGCGCGAUAGCACAUGGAAGUUUGGGGCAAUAACAGGUCUGUGAUGCCCUUAGAUGUUCUGGGCCGCACACGGGCUACACUGGCGCCUGCAACGAGCAUAUCAGCUGGCCCGAGAGGGUCUUGGCUAAUCUUUUGAACCGGCGCCGUGCUUGGGAUUGACCAUUGCA